UUGGUUCUCUUAGAAUGUUCACUCUUUGGACUCCCAAGUCAACAUGCUUAGGAAGUCUGAACUACACAUAGGUGUUCCAGGUCAUGUAUUAGAAGACCCAUCUUGACCUGAAUCCCAGGGUUGGAUAUAUCCUGGAAGUCCCCUAGCUAUCUGAGAUCCUGCCUUUUAAAGUUCGUGAUACUGUUUUUGAAAACUACUGUUAAGAUCUGUAGGUUGUAGCCUUUUCUUGACAUUAUUUGUUGGAGCAUCCUGGAUACUUUUUCAUGGGACAGUAACAACGUUGCUCAGGGAAAGGAGAUACGGGAGCUUGGCAGUUUCUUGAGUGACUAGUUAGAGAUUCUAGCAGGUGUGGUAUCACUCUGAUGAAGAACAAAGGCAGAAGAACAAAGACGAGAGCCUGACAGAAAGUCACCAUUAUGACUUGGAACCAUCUGCCAUUGGCUGAUAGGGUCAUCUUUGCAUCUGUCUGUUUCCUCGGCUCCAGAAUCCAGGCACUGUGGCAUAAGACACUCCGUCCUUGGUCACUGCUAGUGAGUGUUGCAUGCCUAAAACACUCCUUUCAUCAUAGCAGCUAUUUCCAAGUCAGGAGGAAACAUGUGAACUUGAAUGGAGAUCAUACCAGUGCUGAAGGACUGAAUAAAGACAUGGCAGCAUUCCAGGUAGAAGAAACACCAUAAAGGCACGAAUACACAGAGCGACUAGCUAUGCUUACUAAAUAAAGGGAGAGAGUGGGGAGCAGCACUUACAGCGUGCUAAGCAAGGGCCUAGCCACUCAGAGCUGUUGUUAGGGAUGGCUUGAAGCAGGUGACACCUGAACACUGAUGGGGACAUCACUGGCCUGCUCUAAGUGAGAUUCUGGAGUCUGCACUUGGGCAGUGGAUACUGGAGAUGAAGGUCAAGUAAGACACGAAUGAAAUCUCCUUUGCCUGAUCCUCCUAACCAGUGAGACUAAGACAGCAUCUACUGGCUCUGGAAUUGGGACAGCAGGUAGACCCUGUUUGACUUGGGCUUACAGGAGAACACUGAGACCAGAGGAUCCAACUGCCGUGGAACUUUCCAGUUGAUAAAUUGCCAUUUCUUGGAUGAGGAGUUCCUCCCAGCUGCUAGGAGCAUGGAUUGCUCAAGACUUGCCCCAAGAAAUAGAAACAUUUUCUCCAAGAA